UAGACACGUAGUAUACAGUGCGUCGAUAUAUCUAAGUCUACAAAAUACACAUCUAGCUGGAGCAAACGGUUAAAGUAUUAUUUAACUGUGUAAGUUUUUCAAAAACUUUUCGUUAUCCGGCGAAUACGGUCCGUAUUUAAAGAGCACCAAAGGAGAGAUUUAACUCUCUAGAGAAAACAUCAUUAUUAGAGAAUUGCCGUGAAAAACAUCAAACAGGU